UCCCCGUUACCGGGGCAGUCUGAAUAGAAAAAUCCAACUAUUCAUAAGGGUUGCGCUCGUUAAAGGACUUAACCUAACAUCUCACGACACGAGCUGACGACGGCCAUGCAACACCUGUCACUUGGUUCAAUAAAGCACUCUCGCCUUUCGGCAAAAUUCCAAGGAUGUCAAGUCUGGGUAAGGUUCUUCGCUUAACUUCGAAUUAAAGAACACGAUCCACCGCUUGUGCGGGUCCCCGUCAAUUCCUUUAUGUUUUAGUCUUGCGACCGUACUACACAGGCGGGAUACUUAACGCGUUAGCUUCGCUACUGAGGGGGUCGAUACCCCCAACAGCUAGUAUCCAUCGUUUACGGCGUGGACUAC
rnacentral:misc_RNA from 1 species